CACGUAGGGCGCAAGCGUUGUCCGGAAUUAUUGGGCGUAAAGAGCUCGUAGGCGGUUGUGUCAGUCAGGGGUGAAAUCCCGGGGCUCAACCUCGGAACUGCCUUUGAUACAGCACGUCUCGAGUCCGGAAGAGGUGGGUGGAAUUCCUAGUGUAGAGGUGAAAUUCGUAGAUAUUAGGAAGAACACCGGUGGCGAAGGCGGCCCACUGGUCCGGUACUGACGCUGAGGUGCGAAAGCGUGGGGAGCAAACAGG
rnacentral:rRNA from 1 species